GAAUAGAGAAUUGUAUCCACCUCGUUACAGCUAAACGAAAAGGACUAUAGAGGGCGAGCACUGUAUGAUAAUUUAUUCAAUCUCCGGUUGGGGCACGUUAAACAAACCGAUGUAGGGGAAAAUAGCCGUAGGUCGCCCACCCCACCCCCACACAAACAGAUAACGUUUAACGUAGUCUACAAUCGUGACUGCAUUUGCAUUUUCGGUUGGUCGCAAACAAGAGCUUCCUGUAAACAAACGAAUUUACCGCCGCGGAGGAGUCAAAUACAAUUCAAGAGGAUCUUGAUCCAGGACAUGAACCACCAGCAGCCACUUGGAACCUGAUAAAACAUUAAAGAAACACCACUGUACAACA